rnacentral:rRNA from 1 species
UACGUAGGGGGCAAGCGUUGUCCGGAAUCAUUGGGCGUAAAGCGCGUGUAGGCGGUUCGGUAAGUCCGCUGUGAAAGUCGGGGCUCAACCCUCGGAUGCCGGUGGAUACUGUCGGGCUUGAGUACGGAAGAGGCGAGUGGAACUCCUGGUGUAGCGGUGGAAUGCGCAGAUAUCAGGAAGAACACCAACGGCGAAGGCAGCUCGCUGGACGGUACUGACGCUGAGACGCGAAAGCGUGGGAGCGAACAGG